CGGCAGAAAACAAAUAGCGGAGGAGACUGAGGCAGAGAUGGAUAACACUUAACAACACCACAUCAAUUUCCAGGUGUACUUGUACGACAAACUUCAGAUAUUUCGACAUCUUCUGUGGUUGCAUCAAAUGCUGUGAUUGCUCGACACCUUGCCAAACUCGAGGAAGGCAUCAAGGAACUGCAAUUAAACCAAAAAGAAAUAUUGGAAAGACUACGCUCUGGAGCAACUGCGACGGCUGUAGCUGUUGGUUAUCAAGCCCUGUCCCUGCCAGAAGGAGUCAAUUUACCAUGCACCCAGAUCGAAGAGAUUAAAAAGAUUGAUGUCUGGCUAACAGUGGACGAAAAUUACAUGCUACUUGU